rnacentral:lncRNA from 1 species
GGCUAUGGAUUUCUCUUUAAAGGAAUAAUAAACUGUUCACGUUUACUGAGAAGGAGAAAGAAAAAAGUCUUUAUUCAAAAUGUAAAUAUCUUCCUGCUGAGGAGCAAACCCAAAAGUCAGCCUUCAGGAUAUAAAUAUUUAUGCCUUUUGCAUAAACAGCAGAUGUAACAUUUCCAAUUAACUGUCGAUCUUUCCAUUUCUCUGGCUGCUGCUGCUUUCUCUCACAGUAUCAGAAUGAGCAGUUUGCUUGAUUUGCCCGAGCUCAGAACUGUCACAAAUUUCCGCAGUCAAUAAGAUGAAAUUGUUCCUGAAAAUGUUUGUUUAUCAAAGCCUAACAAUUUCCCUAUAUUUUUUAUCCUUGGUGUUCAGUGUAAGAUGAAUUCUAUCCUGCUGAAAGAUGUGAGAUUCACAGCCCAGGUAAGACAGCAGAGAAGAAGCAGAAGCAGGCAUUGGUGAGAGUGUAGACUCAGUUAUUGCAGUAGAGUCCAGCCCAGAGCUAAAAGGAGCCUGCCUGGCAUGAGAGGUCUCUGACCCAUUUGGCCACUGGCCCUUCUACCAAGUCUGCCAGCCUGGGGCUGGGUAGUAUCAAGUGCAAGAGCUUUUAUGAUGUAGCCACCUGUUCAUGAGGAACUGCCUCCAUCAAUUCUUCAGUGUCAGCUUUCUCAGGUGUCUGACAUUUAAUCCUGCAAAUGGCAGCCUCCCUCCUCCAUGACUUCUUUCUCUCUGGGAGAAAAGUGUGAAUUGUAUAAGCAAGAAAAUUAACCCUACGAGAGCUGAACAAUUUCUCAGGUUGCUACCAAGGGAUCCAGUUUUUCCAGUGCUAAAGGACACAAAUUCAGCACCAGCUUCUCUCAGAUGCCUUGUGGAUGCUGUGAUGACCUGCAGGUACAGUGAGAAGCAGCUUGCCAGACUAUCCUCCCACUCCUAGCUGGACACAAAAGCAACUGAAGAGCUUGUGGCUCGAAUUUGCAGGAAUGAAAUAAAAAUGGCCUUCAAGGGAUUCCUUAAUCA